CAGCAGCCGCGGUAAUACGAAGGGGGCUAGCGUUGUUCGGAUUUACUGGGCGUAAAGCGCACGUAGGCGGACUUUUAAGUCAGGGGUGAAAUCCCGCAGCUCAACUGCGGAACUGCCUUUGAUACUGGGUAUCUUGAGUAUGGAAGAGGUUAGUGGAAUUGCGAGUGUAGAGGUGAAAUUCGUAGAUAUUCGCAGGAACACCAGUGGCGAAGGCGGCUAACUGGUCCAUAACUGACGCUGAGGUGCGAAAGCGUGGGGAGCAAACAGGAUUAGAUACCCCAGUAGUCCCUGUCUCUUAUAC
rnacentral:rRNA from 1 species